AUGGAUCUUAAAAAAAAGAAGCCUUUCACACUGAUGCAUUGGUAUGUAGAGUUUUCGAAGUAUCCAAAGUGGCAGACAAGAGAAGUUGAAACUUCUCUUAAGAAACAAAAGAAGACCAUUGAUGCAAGUCCAGGCACAGCCACCAAUGAUCCGGCUGAUGCAUCCUCGGUACGUACUGAUGCUACCUCGAUACACACUGAUGCUCUUGAACAUGAGAAAAGACCUGAUGGUGUGAAGAGGGACAAGAGAGGUAAAGCUGAUGACAGUGCUUGCAAGCUGUCAUUAGAAACUGUGUGGGCAGCAAAGCUAGAGAAGGAUGAGAUCAAAGAGGCGGCAAUAAAUGCUCGCUACGCACAGCAAUUGGAAUUGCGAAAAGAGGAGAUUGCACUCAAAAAGAAUGAGGAUGCACGAAACGAGAGGGAGGAUGCACGGAGACAGUUUGAAUUAGAUGAGAGGGUCAUGCUCAUCGACACAAGUGGUAUGACUGAUGUUCAAAAGCAGUUCUACCAAGCUAAGCAGAAGGAGAUCCUUGCUCGCGGCCUAGGGUAA
rnacentral:rRNA from 1 species